AGAAUGGUGUUGGCUUCCCAGAGCAUCUGUGAGGACAGCACAACCUUCUCGCACCCCCCUGCCCCUGAAGGACUCACCCCGCAGACCACCUGGCCUUGUGUCGAGUCACACACACGCGUCUCCGCUGGUCUGUGUCCACUUCUCAGACGUGCUUUGGUUUUUGAUGACGGGCCAGUUUUGAGUCCUGCGGAGAAGCGGGGGCAGGUGGACCCUGUUACCCACAUUGCUCCUAACUGACCAAGUUAACCUGGACCACCUGGCGGGCAGACGGCCCUGGGGCCUGAUCCCCCGCUGCCUUCUGCUCUCUGGAAACAAGCCCACAUGGAGGAAGGAACGAAGGGGGAAGUAAGGCAUUAUGUCUCCUCCACCGGAGCCCACAUGCUCCAAGGCCAGGUGCCUGGCUGGCGGGCUGGGGCACUGACUGCAGCCAGGUGACCAAGGAGGGCUUCUGGGAAGAGUCACUGCAGACUCGACGCACGGGAGCGGGGGG